rnacentral:rRNA from 1 species
GAUGAACGCUGGCGGCGUGCUUAACACAUGCAAGUCGAACGGAAAGGCCAGUGCUUGCACUGGUACUCGAGUGGCGAACGGGUGAGUAACACGUGGGUGAUCUGCCCUGCACUUCGGGAUAGGCCUGGGAAACUGGGUCUAAUACCGGAUAGGACAAUGGUUUGGAUGCCGUUGUGGAAAGUUUUUUCGGUGUGGGAUGAGCUCGCGGCCUAUCAGCUUGUUGGUGGGGUAAUGGCCUACCAAGGCGUCGACGGGUAGCCGGCCUGAGAGGGUGUACGGCCACAUUGGGACUGAGAUACGGCCCAGACUCCUACGGGAGGCAGCAGUGGGGAAUAUUGCACAAUGGGCGCAAGCCUGAUGCAGCGACGCCGCGUGGGGGAUGACGGCCUUCGGGUUGUAAACUCCUUUCGCUAGGGACGAAGCGUAUUUGUGACGGUACCUGGAGAAGAAGCACCGGCUAACUACGUG